rnacentral:rRNA from 1 species
UACGAGAGGUCCAAACGUUAUUCGGAAUCACUGGGCUUACAGAGUUCGUAGGCGGUCCAGAAAGUGGGGUGUGAAAGCCCUCGGCUCAACCGAGGAACUGCGCUCCAAACUACCGGGCUAGAGGAAGAUAGAGGUGAGCAGAACUGAUGGUGGAGCGGUGAAAUGCGUUGAUAUCAUCAGGAAUACCGGAGGCGAAGGCGGCUCACUGGGUCUUUUCUGACGCUGAGGAACGAAAGCUAGGGGAGCAAACGGG